GGAAAAUGCAAUUGGAUCAAAGUCGUACAAUACUUUGAUGGGGGAGCUUGUUUCCCUUGAUACCCAAAAUAUGGAAACUGAGCAUAAAAAAACUUCUGAAGACGACGAUGUUGAUUUUGCCGCUGCUACAACUGCAGCCCUAGGUGUACCUUCUCCAUGCCUCUCAAGAGGGAGAUCAUUUGAUGAUUCUCCUGUCUCCAUCACUGAUCGCCAUACAGCUAGAAAAGGAGAUAUUGAAGAAGAAGCAGAGCUGUUGAAAGCCCUUCAAUUAUCUGAGGCUGAAAUAGCAACUCCAUCUGUAGAAACCGAUGGACUACAUUCUUUGGGUGAGAUAGCAAAUCUUAAGUGUCCAGAGCCAGUGGUUCUUAACAAGAUAUCAGAAGUCAAUGCUAUUGAGACGCAACCAGUUCUGCAGCAUGAAGCAUUGGUAUCCACAGAAGAAAUAGUAGCUAACAUUAGCAAAAUAUCUGGUGAUGGCAGUCGAAAUAGUUCCCAGUUGGCCUCUGAAGUAGCUGUUAAGUCCUCCCUGAAAUGUGAUCAGGAAACACCUACCCAAGAUCUUGGAAAUGCAAAA
rnacentral:misc_RNA from 1 species